rnacentral:misc_RNA from 1 species
AACGCACAUUGCGCCCCUUGGUAUUCCAUGGGGCAUGCCUGUUCGAGCGUCAUUUGUACCUUCAAGCUCUGCUUGGUGUUGGGUGUUUGUCCCCGUUUUAUGCGCGGGACUCGCCUUAAAGCCAAUUGGCAGCCGGCGUACUCGCCUUGGAGCGCAGCACAUUUUGCGUCCCUUGGCCUGAACGCCUGCGUCCACAAAGCCUAUACUUUUGCUCUUGACCUCGGAUCAGGUAGGGAUACCCGCUGAACUUAA